rnacentral:rRNA from 1 species
CGGGCGUAGCAAUACGUCAGCGGCAGACGGGUGAGUAACGCGUGGGAACGUACCUUUUGGUUCGGAACAACACAGGGAAACUUGUGCUAAUACCGGAUAAGCCCUUACGGGGAAAGAUUUAUCGCCGAAAGAUCGGCCCGCGUCUGAUUAGCUAGUUGGUAGGGUAAUGGCCUACCAAGGCGACGAUCAGUAGCUGGUCUGAGAGGAUGAUCAGCCACAUUGGGACUGAGACACGGCCCAAACUCCUACGGGAGGCAGCAGUGGGGAAUAUUGGACAAUGGGGGCAACCCUGAUCCAGCCAUGCCGCGUGAGUGAUGAAGGCCCUAGGGUUGUAAAGCUCUUUUGUGCGGGAAGAUAAUGACGGUACCGCAAGAAUAAGCCCCGGCUAACUUCGUGCCAGCAGCCGCGGUAAUACGAAGGGGGCUAGCGUUGCUCGGAAUCACUGGGCGUAAAGGGUGCGUAGGCGGGUUUUUAAGUCAGGGGUGAAAUCCUGGAGCUCAACUCCAGAACUGCCUUUGAUACUGAAGAUCUUGAGUCCGGGAGAGGUGAGUGGAACUGCGAGUGUAGAGGUGAAAUUCGUAGAUAUUCGCAAGAACACCAGUGGCGAAGGCGGCUCACUG